rnacentral:rRNA from 1 species
GAUGAACGCUGGCGGCGUGCCUAAUACAUGCAAGUCGAACGAGGUGCUUUUGUAGCAAUACAAUAGUGGCGAACGGGUGCGUAACACGUGGAUAAUCUGCCCUUUGGCGGGGGAUAUCGGCUGGAAACGGCCGGCAAUACCGCAUGUGGCCUACGGGAUUCCGAUCCUGUAGAAGAAAGGCGCUUCACGGCGUCGCCAGAGGAUGAGUCCGCGGCCCAUUAGCUAGUUGGUGAGAUAAUAGCCCACCAAGGCUGUGAUGGGUAGCCGAGCUGAGAGGUUGAUCGGCCACACUGGGACUGAGACACGGCCCAGACACUACGGGUGGCAGCAGUAGGGAAUAUUGGACAAUGGGCGAAAGCCUGACCCAGCAAUGCCGCGUGAGUGACGAAGGAUUUCGGUCUGUAAAGCUCUUUUGUGAGGGAAGAAAUGACGCGUGAGGAAAUGCUCGCGUCUUGACGGUACCUCAUGAAUAAGGGACGG